rnacentral:rRNA from 1 species
UGCGUAGGCGGUUGUCUAAGUCAGAUGUGAAAGCCCCGGGCUCAACCUGGGAACUGCAUUUGAAACUGGGCAGCUAGAGUUUGGUAGAGGAAGGUAGAAUUCCUAGUGUAGCGGUGAAAUGCGUAGAUAUUAGGAGGAAUACCAGUGGCGAAGGCGGCCUUCUGGACCAAAACUGACGCUGAGGUACGAAAGCGUGGGGAGCAAACAGGAUUAGAUACCCUGGUAGUCC